GAUGAAGAACGUAGCGAAAUGCGAUAAGUAAUGUGAAUUGCAGAAUUCAGUGAAUCAUCGAAUCUUUGAACGCAUCUUGCGCUCCUUGGUAUUCUGAGGAGCAUGCCUGUUUGAGUGUCAUUAAAUUCUCAACUACACUGACUUUGAAUUGGUGUGGCUUGGAUUUGGGGGGAAAAUUGUUGUGGGCUUUUUGUAUAGUCUGCUCCCCUGAAAUUGAUUAGCGGUACCUUUGUGGAACUGUCUACAGGUGUGAUAAUUAUCUACAUCUUAGACAUCUGCUGGAAUGCUGCUUUCUAAACCUUACUUGUAUUUACAAUCUUGACCUCAAAUCAGGUAGGACUACCCGCUGAACUUAAGCAUCUCAAUAAGCGGAGGA
rnacentral:misc_RNA from 1 species